UACGUAGGUGGCGAGCGUUGUCCGGAUUUACUGGGCGUAAAGAGCGCGUAGGCGGUCUGCCAAGUCAGUGGUAAAAUCUCCCGGCUCAACUGGGAGAAGCCCGCUGAUACUGGUAGGCUUGAGGGAGGCAGAGGAAGGUGGAAUUCCCGGUGUAGCGGUGGAAUGCGUAGAUAUCAGGAGGAACACCGGUGGCGAAGGCGGAUCUCUGGGCCUUACCUGACGCUGAGGCGCGAAAGCUAGGGGAGCAAACAGG
rnacentral:rRNA from 1 species